rnacentral:rRNA from 1 species
GAAAGUUGCAAAGCACUUUGAAGAGAGAGUUAAAAAGGACGUGAAACCGAUGAGGUGGAAACGGACAGAGCCGGCGUAUCUGGCUUGCAUUCAGCCAUUGUCCCUCGGGCGUCGGGCUUGCUGUUCUCCAGAUUGGGACAGCGGUUUGACUGCCUGAGAGACUGAGGUGCAUUUGCAGGUGGAGUGCGCUGAGGCGGUCGGGCUAGCGGCAUGAGCUUGGCUUUGAGGCCAGCCCUUCGGGGACUGGUACCCGGGUCGGGGGAGUGCUGUUUGGCCUGGUUGCACUGUGGGGAAUGGUUUUCGGGCUCGGUUGGGUACCGAGCUGGCAGUCGGUGGCGGUCGCAUGCGACACGUACCAGCGGUCAGUUCGGUCCUGGUCGAGCUCUCAAAGCCCCUGCCUCGGUGUAAAAGCUGGUUAUCUGUCCGACCCGUCUUGAAACACGGACCAAGGAGUUUAGCGUGUGCGCAAGUCAUUGGGCGUUGAAAACCCAAAGGCGCAAUGAAAGUGAAGGUCUCCCUUGUGGAGCUGAUGUGUGACCUGGGUCACCGCGGUGGCCCGGAGCAACAUGGUCCCGUCCCGAUCGCAUGCGGUGGGGCGGAGACAUAGCGUACGCGCUGAGACCCGAAAGAUGGUGAACUAUUCCUGAGCAGGACGAAGCCAGAGGAAACUCUGGUGGAAGUCCGAAGCGAUUCUGACGUGCAAAUCGAUCGUCUGACU